CAGCAGUGGGGAAUAUUGCACAAUGGGCGCAAGCCUGAUGCAGCGACGCCGCGUGGGGGAUGACGGCCUUCGGGUUGUAAACUCCUUUCGUUAGGGACGAAGCCACGCUUUUUGGGUGUGGUGACGGUACCUUUGUUAAGAAGCACCGGCUAACUACGUGCCAGCAGCCGCGGUAAUACGUAGGGUGCGAGCGUUGUCCGGAAUUACUGGGCGUAAAGAGCUCGUAGGUGGUUUGUUGCGUCGUCUGUGAAAUUCCGGGGCUUAACUUCGGGGUGGCAGGCGAUACGGGCAUAACUAGAGUGCUGUAGGGGAGACUGGAAUUCCUGGUGUAGCGGUGGAAUGCGCAGAUAUCAGGAGGAACACCGAUGGCGAAGGCAGGUCUCUGGGCAGUAACUGACGCUGAGGAGCGAAAGCAUGGGGAGCGAACAGGAUUAGAUACCCUGGUAGUCCAUGCUGUAAACGGUGGGCGUUAGGUGUGGGGACCGGUUUGGUUUCUGUGCCGUAGCUAACGCAUUAAGCGCCCCGCCUGGGGAGUACGGCCGCAAGGCUAAAACUCAAAGGAAUUGACGGGGGCCCGCACAAGCGGCGGAGCAUGCGGAUUAAUUCGAUGCAACGCGAAGAACCUUACCAAGGCUUGACAUGUGCCGGUCGGCUCCGGAGACGGGGUUUCCUCCUUGUGGGGCCGGUUCACAGGUGGUGCAUGGUUGUCGUCAGCUCGUGUCGUGAGAUGUUGGGUUAAGUCCCGCAACGAGCGCAACCCUUGUCUUAUGUUGCCAGCACGUUUAGGGUGGGGACUCAUGAGAGACUGCCGGGGUUAACUCGGAGGAAGGUGGGGAUGACGUCAAAUCAUCAUGCCCUUUAUGCCCAGGGCUUCACACAUGCUACAAUGGUUAGUACAACGCGCAGCAAACCUGUGAGGGUGAGCGAAUCGCUGAAAGCUAAUCUCAGUUCGGAUUGGGGUCUGCAACUCGACCCCAUGAAGUCGGAGUCGCUAGUAAUCGCAGAUCAGCAAUGCUGCGGUGAAUACGUUCCCGGGCCUUGUACACACCGCCCGUCACGUCAUGAAAGUUGGUAACACCCGAAGCCCAUGGCCUAACCACCAUUUUUUGGUGGGGGGAGUGGUCGAAGGUGGGAUUGGCGAUUGGGACGAAGUCGUAACAAGGUAGCCGUACCGGAAGGUGCGGCUG
rnacentral:rRNA from 1 species